rnacentral:rRNA from 1 species
GAUGAACGCUGGCGGCGUGCCUAAUACAUGCCAGUCGAGCGAACAGACGAGGAGCUUGCUCCUCUGACGUUAGCGGCGGACGGGUGAGUAACACGUGGAUAACCUACCUAUAAGACUGGGAUAACUUCGGGAAACCGGAGCUAAUACCGGAUAAUAUAUUGAACCGCAUGGUUCAAUAGUGAAAGACGGUUUUGCUGUCACUUAUAGAUGGAUCCGCGCCGCAUUAGCUAGUUGGUAAGGUAACGGCUUACCAAGGCAACGAUGCGUAGCCGACCUGAGAGGGUGAUCGGCCACACUGGAUCAGAGACACGGUCCAGACUCCUACGGGAGGCAGCAGUAGGGAAUCUUCCGCAAUGGGCGAAAGCCUGACGGAGCAACGCCGCGUGAGUGAUGAAGGUCUUCGGAUCGUAAAACUCUGUUAUUAGGGAAGAACAAAUGUGUAAGUAACUAUGCACGUCUUGACGGUACCUAAUCAGAAAGCCACGGCUAACUACG